AUGUCCCCUUGUCCCGGCGCCACCCGCCUCCGAGGAGCGGCCGGGGAGGGCGAGCAGCGAGGGCAGCGGCAGCCGCCGGGCUCCGAACGAAAGCUGCGGCCGGCACCGCGGCUCCGCCGAGGAAACCGCGACCCCGGCCGGGAGCCGACCCCCGGGCCAGGUGCCGACUCCGGGGGCUCGGCAGGCCGGGGCCGAGCGGGUGGUGGCGGGGACACGGCGCGUCCCCCUGCGCGUCCCCCUGCGCGUCCCGCUGCGCGUCCCGCUGCGCUCCGCAGCGCCGGGUGCGGGACCGGGAGGCGCCGUGCCCUUGUUUUACACGGUUGGUGCGGGAAUAAAGAGUCAGCGAUCUUAAAGGCUUUGGGAGAAGAACAAGGGGAAAAACAAAGAGCAAAAAAAAAAAAAAAAAAGGAAAGGGAAGAAGGCAGAAAUGCUUGCGACGGUGUCACGGUAACUCCCCUUUCCCGGAUGCUCCGGCAGCAGCCGCGCCGAGGAAGCGGCCGGCUCCGGGGGCUCGGGGCUGGGGCCCACCCGCGGUCGUGCCCCCGCCACGGGAGCCCGGUGAGCCCGGCCGAGCCCCGCUGCUGCUGCCGCGGCGGUGCCGAAAGGGGCCGGGGCUCGGGGCUGGGGCUCGGGGCUGCGCGGAAACGGAGCCCAGCGGGCGGCAGGAGGGGCCCUGCCCCGGGACCCGCUCGGGGGAGUUCCCCGCCGGAGGCUCGUUUGCUCUCCAGGAGGGAAAAAAAAAAAAAAAUAGAAAAGAAAAGAAAGAAAGCGUUCGGGACACAAAAUCUGCCACGUUUCCGACCCAACCAACCUCAAACCUUCCAGGUAGCGAUCGGCUCCGCUGCCCGCACCGGCGUGUUGGGCUCGGCACCGCGGCCGCCCUUCUGGAAGAGUCUCGCAGAACUGAGGCGGAGGGAAACCAACACAGAAGUGGCUCGAAAAGCGCGAUGGCAAAUGAUUAAUCCAAUCCGAGGCAGGAAGGCGGAGGUAAUCAAUGGGUUUUCACUUAUAGUUUACUCGGAUGGACAUCUUUCUCCUUCUUCUGCCUCGGAAAAAAAGUUCGGAAACCACACGGGGGUUCAUUAG
rnacentral:lncRNA from 1 species